UACACAAAUAUGAAGGCGGGCUGGAACCUCUCGGGGGUUACAGCCUUGCUGAAUUAUUCACCCUUGUCUUUUGCGUACUUCUUGUUUCCUUGGUGGGUUCGCCCACCACUAGGACAAACAUAAACCUUUUGUAAUUGCAAUCAGCGUCAGUAACAAAUUAAUAAUUACAACUUUCAACAACGGAUCUCUUGGUUCUGGCAUCGAUGAAGAACGCAGCGAAAUGCGAUAAGUAGUGUGAAUUGCAGAAUUCAGUGAAUCAUCGAAUCUUUGAACGCACAUUGCGCCCUUUGGUAUUCCAAAGGGCAUGCCUGUUCGAGCGUCAUUUGUACCCUCAAGCUUUGCUUGGUGUUGGGCGUCUUGUCUCUAGCUUUGCUGGAGACUCGCCUUAAAGUAAUUGGCAGCCGGCCUACUGGUUUCGGAGCGCAGCACAAGUCGCACUCUCUAUCAGCAAAGGUCUAGCAUCCAUUAAGCCUUUUUUCAACUUUUGACCUCGGAUCAGGUAGGGAUACCCGCUGAACUUAAGCAUAUCAA
rnacentral:rRNA from 1 species